GUGAAGACUUUUAAAAUAGAGACCAACGUGGCCGGGCAGGAAGAGCAGGGUCCCGCCUUCAGGUGUUUGGGACUCAGCUGAGGGUGUGGGUGCCCCGCGGUGGGGGCUGAACCUUCCUGGGGUGUGGAGAGACGAAAGGAGCCCAGAUCCAAGUUCCCUCGUUCCCGCUUUGGCAUAAGUUGCCCUGGCGGUCUCAUGAGAGAGAGAAAGAGCUGGGACCCUCCUCGCCCCAGUGAGUGUGAUGUCUUGCUCCGGGUGUCCUGGGGCAACUUUCUAUACAGGCGGGACGUGGGAGGAUCAGACAGUGUAACAUCAGACAAGGGUGUUGACUCUGCAGCACAGAACCAGUAGUUUGUGGAGAAGAAUGGAGGUGUGGUGUUGAAUCUGCUAGACAGGCUACUGAAGCAAAAGUCAAGAGAUCCAGAUUCCAUCAUGGGGACACUUUAGCUGUUGUAAAAAGGAUUGAGUUCUUGAUUGAUUCCCAGCUUGGUCAUUGGUGUAUAGCAGUGCUACUGAUUUGUUUACAUUCAUUUUGUAACCUGAGACUUUACUGAAUUCGUGUAUCAGAUCUAGGAGCCUUUUGGUUCUUCAUCGGGUAAUUGAGCUGAUAUCAGGUGUCUGAAGGAGGCAAGUUUUGAAGAUGUGGGUCAUGAUGGCUGCUGAAGCUUCCACUCCAUAUUUGAAGGUCAGCAGUUCUCAGGAAACCUCUAGCACUUCCAUCCCUGGUGGGAUGUGAUGCCUGUCUCAGUGUAACAUCAGAGAAGGGGUGUACUCUGUGCCCUAGAACUAGGAGCUAACAGAGAAAAACCAAAUGUGAUGUGGAGUCUGCUAGACAGGCUACUGGAGCAAGAGUGAAGCGAUGAAAGUCUCAUCAUUGGGACAUAUUAGUGUGACAUGCAUAAAGGAAUUUCUUAUUGAGCCCCAGGAAGAAGAAACACUACAUAAGAGCAAAUAAUAAAAUCGGUCAGAUAGACAGAAGAUGGGAGUCAUCAAACCUGUAUCCCUCUUGCCAGACCUAUCAACUGACCAUACGUCAUUCAGGAGGCAGCAGGUGGCUGAAAUCCUGGUGUGAUGUGGCUGGAUCAUGCAUGAUCUGAGGACUCCUGCACAGGUGACUGCAGGAUGAGUACAGAAUUUUUCUAUAAAUAUACUAAAAUACCAAGUAAGCCAGGAGCAGCCACUAGGCAAACACCAAACCUUGCAUUCCUGGCCAAACCUAUCACAGAGCUCAUCAGGUAAGUUCAAAGACACACCUGUCUUCCCAGCAUUGGGAACUGGAUUGGGGUCUACUCAGAGGCAUGAUGUUGACCAGAUUUUAUGAAACACCCAAGAAUGUAGAGAACAUUCUGUCUUUAAAACCUUGAAUUCAAAACAUAUCAGAGAGAGAUUUACUUCCCUUAUAUGGAUGUCUGUGUUCUCAUUAGGAGAGAAACAAUGAAAAAUGACUUUUCACAAUGCCUGCCUUAGCCGUGAGGCUCAGCCAACCCCCACUUCUAUGUCUCAGCAUUUAAAGGGCAAUUGAAGUCCCACUCCAUGCUAUAUACUCUCAAGAGGUUUUCUCAUUUACCCUUCAGAACAGCUCUGUAAAGAUGGUAUGGUCAGUCCCAUUUCACAGAUGACUAAGCUCAGGCUCACAGAGCCUAAGUCACCCCUCCAGGUAAGUGGCAGGGUUGGAAUGAGGUUCUAUUCCUCACCCUCCCUAGAGAACCCUGAGCAGCUUCCGUUUUAGAAGAUGGGUUUCCAGGGCUUGAGAAAUGGUCAGAUUCCCCCCUGAUAUUGUGGCCCCACAGGUCCUCACUCCACAACCCCUCUGGGUGAUGAGGAAGACAGAAGAGGUGAAAUCCUGCGCUUUGUGCCAUGAGAUCUGGGUGUAGGGCCACAGGAGUUAGCUAAUCCUUGAAGUGGUGAGUGGGCUCAGGCAGAAGCUCAAGUGUUGGCCUUGGGACAG
rnacentral:lncRNA from 1 species